rnacentral:rRNA from 1 species
AGAGUUUGAUCCUGGCUCAGAAUGAACGCUGGCGGCGUGCUUAACACAUGCAAGUCGUACGAGAACUCUUUAGCUUGCUAAAGAUAGUAAAGUGGCGCACGGGUGAGUAACGCGUGGGUAAUUUACCUCUGAAUUUGGGAUAACUCCGCGAAAGCGGGGCUAAUACCCGGAUAAUAUUUCAGGAUCUUCGGGUUUUGAAAUCAAAAGUGGCCUCUACAUGUAAGCUACUGUUUGGAGAUGAGCCCGCGUACCAUUAGCUUGUUGGUAGGGUAAUGGCCUACCAAGGCUACGAUGGUUAGCUGGUCUGAGAGGAUGAUCAGCCACACUGGAACUGACACACGGUCCAGACUCCUACGGGAGGCAGCAGUGGGGAAUUUUGCGCAAUGGGGGAAACCCUGACGCAGCAACGCCGCGUGAGUGAUGAAGGCCUUCGGGUCGUAAAGCUCUGUCAAGUGGGAAGAAUCUGGGAAAUGCUAAUACCAUUUUUCACUGACGGUACCACUGAAGGAAGCACCGGCUAACUCCGUGCCAGCAGCCGCGGUAAUACGGGGGGUGCAAGCGUUAUUCGGAAUUAUUGGGCGUAAAGGGCGCGUAGGCGGUCUUUUAAGUCAGAUGUGAAAGCCCGGGGCUUAACCCCGGAAGUGCAUUUGAAACUGAAGGACUUGAGUAUGGGAGAGGGAAGUGGAAUUCCUGGUGUAGAGGUGAAAUUCGUAGAUAUCAGGAGGAACCACCGGUGGCGAAGGCGACUUCCUGGACCAAUACUGACGCUGAGGCGCGAAGGCGUGGGGAGCAAACAGGAUUAGAUACCCUGGUAGUCCACGCAGUAAACGAUGAACACUAGGUGUAGCGGGUAUUGACCCCUGCUGUGCCGCAGUUAACGCAUUAAGUGUUCCGCCUGGGGAGUACGACCGCAAGGUUAAAACUCAAAUGAAUUGACG